UAGGAUCUUGCUAUGUUGCCCUGGCUGGGAUGCAGCGGCUAUUCACAGGUGCAAUCAUAGUGCACUACAGCCUCAAACUCCUAGCCUCAAGCAAUCCUCAUGCCUCAGCCUCCAGAGUAGCUGGGCCUACAGGUACUUAACACCUCAUCUGGCAUCCCCCAGUCAGAUAUUUGGAUGAGACCCCUGCCUUGGCUAACACCUUGAUGAAAACCUGUGGAAGGUUCUAAGGCAGGAGCAAUAGCAAAAAUUGGGAAUGGGAAGAAACAGGUACCAGCCAGGACACCUGAACGAACUUGGAGCUCAGGAACCCAGGAGGGGAUUGGAGAGAGUGGGGAGACUCCAUGGUCCACAAUGAAUGCUCCUUCCCCAUCCGAAAAAAUCCCCUAGCCCAGUUUUUGGGCAGAUGCCAGACUUUUAUUCUGAAGCGUGGGCCACAACCUAUGAGGUAAUCUUUGGAGCUUCAUUCUGAGGCGGAAUCCCAUUGGCCAGUUGGGGAAGCCCCUCCCAGGAUUCCUGGCGCUCCGCCUUCCCUGAAGCCUAUAAAAGCGCAGGUCCCCGCCUCGGCAGCCACGGGACACCUGCAUCUGCCAACAAGACUGGAAGCAGGUGAGGCACACAGAGGGGGAGGCCCGCAGCUGCGUGGGAGGAGGGGUGGUCUGAGGGACGUGGGAUGCCGGGAAUGAGGCUGGUUUGCAGGUUGGCGCAUGGACAUUUUCCCAGAAAGGGACAGAGACGGCGAAGUUUGACGGUCUGGAAAGCAGAGACCAGCAGGGCUGACUGCUUGGGAGCACCAAAUAUCCGGACAGCGCCUCUCGGGAGGUCCGAGAAGAGAACCGCGAUCUGUUUCAGCACCGGGGCUCAGGACAGUUCCCAGCGGGCUCCGUUUCGUCUCCAGAACCCUGGACAGCUCCUCCAGAGACGGGGUUUCACCAUGUUGGCCAGGCUGGUCUCAAACUCUUGACCUCUUCAUCCGUCCACCUCAGCCUCCCAAAGUGCUAGGAUUACAGGCGUGAGUCACUGCGCCUGGCCCAAGUCCGGAAUUUUCAACAGGACAUGGGUGUUACUGUGCCCAUGUGACAUUUGGGGAACCCAAGGCCCUGAGAAAGGCAGAAAAAUAACCCACGCAGGGACUCUCAGCCCACAAGUGAAGCUCUUGGAAUGCACUCCCUCCACCUCCAACCAGAGCUCCCCACAACUGACCCUGCCUUCUUCUGCAAGCUCCAUUUCAUCAAGGGAAACGAUCCUUAUUGCCUCACCAUUUCCCACGUGAAGUCUGUAUUGACAUUCUCAUAGACCUGGGAUAUUGUGUCUGCAGCACAUAGUCCAAUUAUUUUCAUGUUAUCUACUGACAGGUCUAUUUGUCUCCCUGUUACACUGUGAGCUCCGUGAGGGCAGAAACAAUGUUAGUAUUUUCACUGCUGUGUCCCCAGCGCCUGGUCCGGGGCCCGGCACACAGCAGGCAUAUAAUAAGCAUGUGUUGAAUCAAUAAAGGCAUCAAAGAAUAAACCAAUACAUCAAUCAAUAAAUGAAUGAAUGGCCUCAGCACACACAGGAAGAUCCUUCUUCUAGGUCUCCCCCAGAGAGAUACUGGAGGGCAAUGGUUGCUGGAGGUGUUUAUUGGGGAAGCAUAAUUGAAUUUGUGGACACUUAAGGGCCGGCCAGCCAACUCACAGCCCCAAGAGAGAGAGCCAGGCUCAUUUAAUUAGCAAUUACAAGGCACUGAUUCCUCAUUAGCUCUGGCAACCCUCGUCUCCCUCCUCAGCCCCAGACAAAUGAAAUCUUUCUCUCUCUCCCAGGAGUACUGCCUCAGUGGGUCCAUUAACAAGCAGAGAAAAUGAGAUUAGAAGACACCUAAAUGCCAGAGGCACUUUAUGAAUGGGCUGAGCAGAGGGAGGUUCAAUGUCUGGGUUAGGUCUAAUUGUGGGAGGUUUCCUGGUCUAUUUAGAAUUGCCCCCUGGGAAUGCAAGGUCUUUCAGAAAGGAAAAGGCACACAGAUAUUGCCUUCUGGGGUCCUCAAUGGAGGAGGACAUUCUGCUAUGGGUGUCUCCCAGUCACCCCAAAUUAAUCAUUUCAAAGUGAACACUCAAUCUGCCCAGCCCCUAGCUUCCUCCCCUGACAUGCCCAUGAAUAUGACAGUCCCUCUACAUGCCCAAGAUCCUCCCCUCCUCAUCCACUCCCCAUGAUCCCCAAGAUGAGUCACUGUGCUCAAAUCCAUCCUCUCUCCUCCAGCCCUCUGCCUCCAUGACCUCCCUCCAGCCCUCUGCCUCCAUGACCUCCGCCUCCCUGCAUGUCCGGAUCUCCUCACUGUCUCCCCUCUGAGCAUACACACACAUACAGCCUGUUCAUUCUCUACAUGCAGCGAGGGGACUUUCCAGAACACACAUCUGACCAAGUUCCACUCCUGCCUGUCACCCUUCCAAGAGCCCCACUGACUGCAGAAUAACGUUCAAAUAUCCGGUUGGGCGUGGUGGCUCAUGCCUGCAGUCCCAGCACUUUGGGAGGCCAAGGUGGGUGGAUCACUUGCACAGGACCACAGGCGUGUGCCACCACACCCAGCUAAUUUUUAUAUUUUUGGUAGAGACGGAGUUUCACCAUGUUGGCCAGGCUGACCUCAAGUGAUCCACCCGCCUCAACCUCCCAAAGUGCUGGGAUUACAGGCAUGAGUCACUGCACCGGUCUAAUUUUUUCAGAGUCUCACUCUUGCCCAGGCUGGAGUGCAGUAGCAUGAUCUCGGUUCACUGCAACCUCUGCCUCCUGGUUUCAAGCGAUUCUCUUGGCUCAGCCUCCUGAGCAGCUGGGAUUACAGGCACGUGCCACCACACUUAGCUAAUUUUUGUAUUUUUAGUAGAGAUGGGGGUCUCACCAUGCUGGCACAGUUGGUCUUGAACUCCUGACCUCAAGUGAUCCACCCACCUCGGCUUCCCAAAGUGCUGGGAUUACAGACGUGAGCCACCGCGCCCGGCCAGCCUUUAUUGAUUCUUUUUAAAGCCACACUAACCUUUUAUUUUCCCCCAAAGACCCCUGGGAGCCCUCAGUUUUUCCUGGCAGUUUCAUCUUUGUACCCCUGACCUCCCCACACACACGCCUAGCUCAGUGCUGGCAUCCAAUAUUCACUUUGGGUAUAAAUGCUUGUGCCUGAGCCUAUCACCUUCAUCACACAGAAAAUCCUGGAGGCCACACACCCCUGUAAAGACGAGCCAUUACCCACAGAGGUCCAACCAACUUACCACCCUCUCCCAGCCACCCCCAAGGACCCAGCUUGCAGCUGCCUGCUCAAUGGCUUUAGAAACUAAAAAAGGUGAAUGAGUUUCCAUCACUGCCCUCCUGGGCUUUGCCGUUAUGGCUGGUUAACUUGACAGAAGAACACAUUAUACUUCAUUUUUUGCUGUUGUCUUGUUGGAAAAAAAAGUGACAGCUGGGUGCAGUGGUGCACACUGUAGUCACAGCUACUCAGGAGAAUUGCUUGAGCACAGGAAUUGGAGGCUACACUGAGCAAUGAUCGCCUCACUGCACUCCAGCCUGAACGACAGAGCAAGACCCUCUUAAAAAAUACGUGAGAGAGGGUGCGUAUGAUGGCUCAUGCCUGUAAUCCCAGCAGUUUG
rnacentral:lncRNA from 10 species